UUGUGAAAGGUUUGCGUGGUGAAUGCAGAAAAAUUAAAAUGAAAUUAAAUUAAAACGCAGAUGUAAAAACGUAAUUAAAUUCAAUUAAAACGAAGUUAAAUGCAACAACACAUUUCACCAUGCAUGAAAAUAAAAUUAAAAUAGUAAAAACGAAACUGCUACAGUAAAUACGAAAAUUCACGCUNGAACAGGACAACUCUGACCUUUGCUCAAUGUUUUAUCCAUAACUUUUUCUACAGAGCUCUAAAUGAGAUGAGGUUUUUUUUUCCUGGAAAAUAAACUCAAAUAUCUUUCAUUUGACACAUAAAACGUAGCAUUUGGNCCUCUGGUGUGGUUGCAGUUAUUUUUUUAAAAUCGAGUCCAGAGAGUGAAAAUGCUAAACCCAAUACUAGAGCAAACAAAUAUCUAAGCACANUUAAAACUAUUCAAAUGCAACACCAAAUUAAAAAGAUGAAAAANAAUUAAACAUUUAAUGUAAAUUAUUCUAAGAAAAAAAAUAAAUAAAUAAAACACAAAAUAUCUCUACUGUCUCACGUGACCAUGAGCUCCACUUAAAAGAAAAUAAAAUGCAAUUGCUUCUAAAAUGAACUUUUGUCGUGGCCUUCUUUCGUACCAUCUCCCAUUUCAUUCUCCAAGAAAAUUCUACUUUUUAUUUGAUUAAACCUCCUUUACAGCAAGCCGUGUGCCAUGAAUCACCACCUCUGCACCANAAUUUAAAAGCAAGGAAAUGCAUGGAAGUUGGUCAAAUAUGCUAGUAGUGGGAAUCAACUCCCAAACCUAUACAAAUGACCAUGCAUCACCAAGUAAGAAAGGAAUUUCAUCUCUUCAAUUGCCACCACCGUACCCUACACCUAAUCCAUCCUAAUAUGCAUCAAAUAAAUAAAAGAAAAGAAAUACUACCUACCCUACGGCUGCCAACGUUAAAAAGAUGAGCAUUUCUCCAAAUUUAAUUAAGUUUCAUCUCUCUUUAUCAACCACCUUACAAGUUCACCUACCCAUCUAAUCAACUCUUCAUUCUUUCAAGUGAAAUAAAGGUUCAAGAAAGAUAGACACCGGACCCACCAUUCAUGCUAUUAAGUUAUGAAAAGAAAGAUAAAACAUUGUAAAUGGCAAUUGGGAUUAGCACGUGCAACUAUUUAUAACUUAAAUCAAGCAUCAAUUUCCCAAGCAAUUUAAUACCUCUGCAUCUGGAAGAAAGAAAAUUAAAAUUGGCAUUUUAUCUCUCAAAGCCGUGACAGCACACACCUACUACCAUCAACUCACCUCUUCAUUCUACAAGAAACAAAAGCUAAUAUCUCUACUCGGCUGCCACCUUCUUGAGAUGUCCCAUCCUCCUAGAGCCCACCUAAUAUAUUUAUCAUGCUAUAAAAUAAAAAAAAAAAUAAAACUAAGCUUUGAGCAGCAACNUUGCAUCACCGGAUGUGACCGUGGAAAAUAAAAGUGUGCCUCUUUUCUUGCUUUUCUAAUCAAGGAAACGAAAAUUAAAAACAAAAGGGAUGAAAUGCACCGAGAAUCACACAACUUUUGCUGCAGCAUUUAAAAAAAAAAAGAAUAAUACUUCUUUAUUCAAUUGAAAUCAAACAAUGCCAUUGGAAGCUCCAUGAAAAAAUACGUUCCAGCAGCAAAAGUCUCCUCCAAAUUCCCGAGAGUGAGUCCCCCUUAAAAUGACGGCUGCUUCCCCUUUUCUAGGAUCAUGUGUCCUCCUAAAAAUGGGUGGGGUCCACCCUAAAAACCCUAGGGUAAGUGUCCUACAAUUUUGGGCCCCUCACAAUUUUUUUAACAAUGGCCCACUGUGCAAAGGUUUGUCCAAAAAGUAUAAACAAUUAAAAUACAAU
rnacentral:lncRNA from 1 species